rnacentral:lncRNA from 1 species
CAAGGUGCUGUGCUGAUGUAGAGGUGGAAGGUGAUGCUGCUCUUUAUUUUGAGCCUCCUCCCUCCUGCUGGCUCAAAAAUGCUCUCUUCUGCAGAAGGUUUACAGGGGUCAUACUUCAUCAGCUCACUAUAGAGAAACCUCACAAAGCCUCUGCGAGAGAUGAUUUCUGCAUGGCAGUCAUUCACCGUCUCCCCCUUCAAGCUCAGCUCUUCUCCUUUCA